GGCUGCAUGAAGAUGAGCACUCAAAGAUGUUUCUAAAGACCAUAUACAGGAAUGUGCUGGAUGACGUCUAUGAAUAUCCGAUCCUUGAGAAAGAGCUGAAGGAGUUUCAGAAGAUACUGGGCAUGCACCGCCGUCACACUGCUUGCCCUAUACUCACCACAGAAGAAGAAUAAAGCCCUCUUCCAUCAAUUCAGUCUUAAGGAGAACUGGCUCCAGCAUAGAGGAACUGUGGCCGAAACAGAGGAAAUUUUUUGCCACGUGUAUGUGACGGAGCACUCCUACAUCAGUGUGAAGGCAAAAGUUUCUAGUACAGCCCAGGAGAUCCUGAAGGUUGUGGCCGAGAAGCUGCAGCGUGCCGAAGAGGAUCUGGCUCUGGUGGCCAUUAUGUUCUCU
rnacentral:lncRNA from 1 species